GACGAACCGUGCGAACGUUAUUCGGAAUCACUGGGCUUAAAGCGCGUGUAGGCGGGAGGGCACGUCCGUUGCUGAAAUCCCCCGGCUCAACCGGGGAACGGGCGCGGAUACGACCUUCCUGGAGGGGCGUAGGGGGACCUGGAACUUCCGGUGGAGCGGUGAAAUGCGUUGAGAUCGGAAGGAACGCCCGUGGCGAAAGCGAGGUCCUGGACGCCUACUGACGCUGAGACGCGAAAGCCAGGGGAGCGAACGGGG
rnacentral:rRNA from 1 species